UUCGGGUACUCCGGCUUUCCUCCACCUCCAAAACCUGGCACGUCCUUAAAUGUCCCUGGCUGUUAAUAGGACGUUAAUAUAAACAAAAUAAACAAACAAGUAUGUACAGGAGUCCUGUGGUCGGGUAGGGUGUUGAAACUGAAUUGUGUGCAUUGUGAUUACACACAAUUUUAAAUUGCAUGCAAGUACUAAAUAAAAGUGAGUAUAAUUAUAUGCUUCACCUCUGAUAUACAGACUUUACCUGACUUAAUCUGAUGGCUAACUCCCUGGAUAUUUGAUUAGAUGAAAUGCUAUACAAUGUAAGGCCAGGCACAGAGUAAUGUAAACUUAAUUCAUUUUUCAAAACAAGUUAUAACAACUUAUAUUUAUCACCCUUGUUGGCCCAAGUGUACAUGUAAGUGUGUGAGGUGUAGGUGAUCCCAUACCUUUUCACAUCCAAUCAGUGAAUUGAACUGUGGCUGCUUAUGUGAAAAGCAAACUUAUUACCACUGUGCCACCUAACACAGUACAACAUGCCUAUUGAGUAUCCAUAUCACCCAUCCCUUUCACCAUAGGUUAAAUUAUCCCCCAUCCUCUCCCAUCAAAAGAUUGAUUAUCCCAUCCCCUACCUCGCAUUCCCUCUAACUGAUAGAUGGACUACCCCUGUCACUCCCAGUCCCAACCUCCCACUCUCCCAUUAAAGGUUGGAAUAUCCCAUCCCCCACCUCACAUUCCCUCUAACUGAUGGAUGGACUACCCCAUCACUCCCAGUCCCAACCUCCCACUCUCCCAUUAAAGGUUGGAAUAUCCCAUCCCUGCCUCACAUUCCCUCUAACUGAUGGAUGGACUACCCCUGUCACUCCCAGUCCCAACCUCCCACUCUCCCAUCAAAGGUUGGAAUAUCCCAUCCCUGCCUCACAUUCCCUCUAACUGAUGGAUGGACUACCCCAUCACUCCCACCCCAACCUCCCAACCUCCACUCUCCCAUCAAAGGUUUGGAUAUCCCGUCCCCCACCUCGCAUUCCCUCUAACUGAUGGAUGGACUACCCCUGUCACUCCCACCCCAACCUCCCACUCUCCCAUCAAAGGUUUGGAUAUCCCAUCCCUGCCUCACAUUCCCUCUAACUGAUGGAUGGACUACCCCAUCACUCCCAGUCCCAACCUCCCACUCUCCCAUCAAAGGUUUGGAUAUCCCAUCCCUGCCUCACAUUCCCUCUAACUGAUGGAUGGACUACCCUUGUCACUCCCAGUCCCAACCUCCCAUCAAAGGUUUGCUCUAGAUGUAUAGUACCCAAUUAAGCUAUAUAGCACAUGAAAAGUUACACUAUUGUGAUGUCAUAAAUCAGUGAAAUCAUACUGUAUUUGUUUAAAAUGAAAAUUAAUUUUUCAUGAAUUAUCACUUCAUAUAAAAUCAGUAAAGUAAUUAAGUUUUUUUUCAUUCAAUAUGAUGUUGAACACUUACUUACUAAUCUAUUUUUUGUACUAUCGUGUUACAAACUGAUGAACAGUGUUCAUUCAUUUUAUUCCAUACUAUUAAUAAUCAUUAUAUAUGAUAUGAUGGAUAUACAUGUAGGCUCCUUGGUAUUAUGGUCAGGUGACACACGAAAGAUUGGACUUUGACAGUCAUUUACGUGUUGGACCGGCUUCUGAUUUAUAAUGAGUAAAAAUUCUUUGAUAAUUACAUGUGGCCAUUUUAUGUUGAACUUCUUACUGGUCACAGCAUUAUGUGAAUCAUUUGUUUAUUAUUUAUAUCUUCAUUGUCUUAUGGUUGUUAGAAAAAGUAACUUUAUCAAGUCUAGACUAUGGUUAAACAUCUUCAUACUAGAAACAUUUCAUUUUUGCAAAUAUUGCUCUUUUUUUUUUGUUAACUUGUCUAUUAUUACUUAUAAAUAUUGAUAUACUGAAAGUUAUUACAGGGUUGUAAUUUAUAAUUUCAUGUUGGUCCCUUUUUAACAAUAUUGUUAUCAUUUGUAAUUUACAGAAUGUGACAUUUUGAGAUAAAUUUUUGCUUAUAGAUAUAUGUACCAUAAAUAUGGAUUGGAUGAUAUGAUGUAUCUACAUGUACUUCAUUUAUUGAAAUCAAUGUUGGGAUUGAACUCCUCCAUAAAAAUGCUGAGAAAUUAUUACAUUAUUGAAAGUGAAAAAAACAGUUCACAGUUCAAUCAAUCUGCUAAAAGUGAUACAUAACUUUCACCCAGUGUAAAAUGAAAUUGAUAUAUUUUUUUUCUCGACAGAAAUAUAAUUAUGUAACAAUGCAUCCAAAGCCUUGUUACCAUACAGAUUUCUUCCGUAUAGUAAGUACUAUCAACAUAUAUUUGAUAACUUUUUUAUGUGAUUUGCUUUUCAUAUAAAAAUAGGUACAUUGUCCUCUGCUAUACUCUUGUUGUUUAUUUAAAAUCCUUUUGUCACCUGUGAAACAUACUCUGUAGAGCAGCUACAAAAACAUUCACCAUGAAUUACGUUGGACACAUGUCAAAUCAAGGCUAGAUUACAUCUGUUUAGAAUGAGAUUUCUGAUGAACUUGUUCUAUUAAGAUUCAGAAGAAAAACAUUGAUGUUUUGUGCCAAUAUAUCCAGUGUAUUUUACAUUUUUGAUACCUUUCUAUGUUUGUAUAGUAUGUACUGUAGUAAAGAGUUUACUGUGUAGAUGUUGUUACUAGAUACAAUAUAGGGGUAUACAAUCCUAGACUUAUUUAUAUUUGUUAAAAUAUGAUCGGCUUUGGGAUAAUUAAUUUACUCAUGAAACAAACUCCUUUAACAUAAUAGCAUAGCUAAUUGUCUGAUAUAUCUGGGCUAGGGACAUAUAUAGUUAAUGGUCUGACAUACCCGGGCCAGGGACAUAGUUAACAAUCUGAUAUACCUGGGCCAGGGACAUAGUAAACAAUCUGAUAUACCUGGGCCAGGGACAUAGUUAACAAUCUGAUAUACCUGGGCCAGGGACAUAGUUAACAAUCUGAUAUACCUGGACCAGGGACAUAAUUAACAAUCUGAUAUACCUGGGCCAGGGACAUAGUUAACAAUCUGAUAUACCUGGACCAGGGACAUAAUUAACAAUCUGAUAUACCUGGGCCAGGGACAUAUAUAGUUAAUUGUAUGAUAUACCUGGGCCAAGGACAUGGUCAACAAUCCGAUAUACUUGGGCCAGGGACAUAGUUAACAAUCUGAUAUACCUGGGCCAGGGACAUAGUUAACAAUCUGAUAUACCUGGGCCAGGGACAUAGUUAACAAUCUGAUAUACCUGGACCAGGGACAUAAUUAACAAUCUGAUAUACCUGGGCCAGGGACAUAUAUAGUUAAUUGUAUGAUAUACCUGGGCCAAGGACAUGGUUAACAAUCCGAUAUACUUGGGCCAGGGACAUGGUUAACAAUCUGAUAUACUUGGGCCAGGGACAUAGUUAACAAUCCGAUAUACCUGGGCCAGGGACAUAGUUAACAAUCCGGUAUACCUGGGCCAGGGACAUUGUUAACAAUCUGAUAUACCUGGGCCAGGGACAUAUAUAGUUAAUUGUAUGAUAUACCUGGGCCAAGGACAUGGUUAACAAUCCGAUAUACUUCGGCCAGGGACAUAGUUAACAAUCUGAUAUACCUGGGCCAGGGACAUAGUUAACAAUCUGAUAUACCUGGGCCAGGGACAUAGUUAACAAUCUGAUAUACCUGGACCAGGGACAUAAUUAACAAUCUGAUAUACCUGGGCCAGGGACAUAUAUAGUUAAUUGUAUGAUAUACCUGGGCCAAGGACAUGGUUAACAAUCCGAUAUACUUGGGCCAGGGACAUAGUUAACAAUCCGGUAUACCUGGGCCAGGGACAUAGUUAACAAUCCGAUAUACCUGGGCCAGGGACAUAGUUAACAAUCUGAUAUACCUGGGCCAGGGACAUACAUAGUUAUUGGUCUGAUAUACCUUGUUAUGAGAUGCAGUUAAUAGUCUGAUACAUCUAUAUAUAGCUAGGCCAAUGAGUAGUUAAUGUUCUGAUACAACUGGUCCAUGGGGGUAGUUAAUGUCACCUGGAUCAGCGACGCAGUUAAUAGUCUGAUAUGCUUGGACAAGGGACUGAUUUGUCAAAAAUGUCUGGUUGACCUGAAUCCAGGACUUUGUUGAUAACUGGCAUAUGGAUUUAGUAAAGAGAGGUCAAAUCACUGGUAAAACUGAAUUACGGACGUUUUUAAUUGUCUAGUAAAACUUAACUAAAGCACUAUAUUUAACAUGUAUGCUAAAAAUUAUUAUAUUCUUAGUUUAUUAUCUGUUAAUGAAAUUAGAUUUUGGAAUUAGUCCAAUUUGUUUAACUUAAAGUUGGGUUAUAAACCUUUGAAAAACUGUUAUAAGUGAAGUACUGUUGUUAGGAAUUUAUAUAAAUCUAUAGAAAUGAGAUUCAUGUUGUAAUGGUGUCAACUUGUUAUUACCUUAAAGCAUUAAAUAUUUGCUAAAUGUUAAA